GCCAAUGUACAAGUUACAUCAUAAUUUAUGUAUUAUUUCUAACAAAUCUCAUAAAACCUUCAAGGUUUGGAGGUGGUUGUGUUGGCGUGGUGGAAAUGAAGCUUGUUCAUCACCACUUCCGGGUGAAGUUACUUCCUGAGCAAGUUCUGCUAUCAUUUCUUCAUACGCCUCAUCUAUUUCUGGUUGUGAUUCUGGUAGGCCAAAGUUCCUU
rnacentral:lncRNA from 1 species